UUCUUUUUCUACCUCUUGGGAAAGUUCAAGUGUAAGAUCUAAGUCAGGUAUCAAGGUUUUUGUCUCCCAGAAUCGUGAAGUUGGUUUCUGACCAUGUUGAAGGAAUCUUUCACCAAAGAGCUGCUGCUGUGCUUUCCUGUUUUUGUUAGCUUAUAAUAUGUUUCUCAAAUGUUUUAAAAUGAUCAUCAUUGGUGACCUUGAUGCCUGAGGCUUGACGUACUAGUAAAACCUCAAGGGGCAAUGUACGACCGUAGACUUGCCUUAUUUUUCCUAUAUUAGAAAAACUUGUUUUGUCAAAAUGAAAGAACAUCAAAAGAUAGAGAUGAAACGA
rnacentral:misc_RNA from 1 species